UACAAUUGGCUUUUGGUCAAGAGCAAAAUAUUUCUCAUCUUAGAAUUUUUGGAUGUGAGGUAUAUGUUACGAUUGCUCCACCACAAUGCAUAAAGAUGGGCCCUAAAGAAGGUUGGGGAUAUAUGUUGGGUAUGAAUCUCCUUCAAUCAUAAAAUAUUUGGAGCCUAUGACUGGAGAACAUAAGCACUUGGGAAGAGAGAUAGAUUGGAAUUUAUCAUGACUAUCUCAUCU
rnacentral:lncRNA from 1 species